CAGAACACCUGCAGAACAGCUGUAGAACACCUGUAGAACACCUGUAGAACACCUGUAGAACACCUGUAGAACACCUGCAGAACACCUGUAGAACACCUGUAGAACAGCUGUAGAACACCAGCAGAACACCUGUAGAACACCUGUAGAACACCUGCAGAACACCUGUAGAACACCUGUAGAACAGCUGUAGAACACCAGCAGAACACCUGUAGAACACCUGUAGAACACCUGUAGAACAGCUGUAGAACACCAGCAGAACACCUGCAGAACACCUGCAGAACACCAGCAGAGACCCGGUAUCAUGAGUGGGAAGUCCUGAAAGUCCUGAAGGUCGUGGAGGUCAGGGGUCAAAGGGACGAGCCAUGAGAACCGGAACUGUCACUACGCAUGUGGACCGGUGACGGAAAUGAUGGAUCAGCUGCCGUUUACCAGUCCUGCUCAGUCUGAGAAGACAUCAGGUACCCCAGAGCUAACAGCUAGCAAGAAGACAUCAGGUACCACAGAGCUAACAGCUAGCAAGAAGACAUCUGGUACCCCAGAGCUAACAGCUAGCGAGAAGACAUCAGGUACCACAAAGCUAACAGCUAGC